GCUGGAAUGGUCUAGUUGGUUAUGACGACUGCCUCACACGCAGUAGGUCCCGAGUGCGACUCUCGGUUCCAGUA
rnacentral:tRNA from 1 species